AGAAAGGAAUAAAUAAAAAAUGAACACACGUUGCAGUGAAGAUGACGAUUAAUCAUCUCCAUCUUAAUAGCUACUUUGCAGCGUGGCAGCUCUGACUAAUUGAUAUUUUUAGUGCGACGCCUCCAACGUGUGAAAUCGUACUGACGGGACCGAUCGAUCGAGCCGUUUCCUCACACCAAACGGAACACCCGAGACGACAUUUCGGCCUGAUAACAGUUUGCAGGCUUUGAGAAGUCGUGCGGGCGGCGAAUCUGUCGCAGCUUCGUCUCAACUCAGGAGGCGUGAAAGGACUUCAGAGGCGAGCGGGUCAAAGCAGCAGAACAAUGCGACGCGAAAGCCCCACGGUGGAGCGAUCCCAGAGAGGAGGAGGAGGAGAGAGCAAAGAUCUCUGCACCGUGAAAUACCCUUUGGAGUUUCAACCAAAGGAUGGAGCGAAGGCCUCCCGGGAAUCCCUGCAGCAACGAUCCACACGCUCAUCCACUCCUCCCUUCAUCUGAGAUAACAGGGAGGGGGAGACAUGACCUUUCUGUACACAGUAUAUCCUGCUUUUGAAUAUAUUUAUAUUGUAUAGUCGCUAAAUAUUUCUCUUUGUUUUUAUUCUUGUAUUCCCUUUUCUAAAAGUAUUUGGUGUAUACUGUGUUUUUGCAAUAGAGAGAACAUGUAAGCGUGUGAGCCAUGAACGCAUGUGCUCGUCCCCGAACUUGAUGUCCCUUCUUUGUUCAUAAGUGACUUUGUUCUUUCAUUUCUUUCCUCCACGAUGUGAUGAGUCCCAGAGACGAUCGCGUUUCUCCGCCACUCAGAGAAUCUGACCGGCACCACCGCUUGUGUAGAGGCUGAAAAGUGUUCAUUUUCUCCACAAUGCUCCUCUCUGAAAGCCCAGCUGCUCUGACAAUUACCCCUAAACGUGGAUUCGACACAUUAACUGCAUCUGCUGCUCAGCAGUGAGGAGUUUUGGCUCCAGCAGUCUCGGCUCUCGUCCGCCACGGUGACAGCAUGCAUGUACGAAUCUGGAUGCAGCAUAGGAAGGAUUGGAUAUAAAAAAGUGACUUUAAGUGAAAGAGCAAAUAGGUUGAUUAUAGGUUUAUAGUGCGAAACAAAGGUUUCGUUUGCACAGAUUUACUUCCCUUUAUAUUUCCGCGUGCGGCCAUAAAUAAGAAUCAUUGUAUCAUCCGCCCGGAGCGCCGUGUGCUUUGGUUCCGGCGCGCAUCGAGUCACUGCAGGUGAAACGUAUUCAGAUAGACAUUUAAAAGCAUUGGACGAUACAGUGCGAGCUCACAGGCCAAAGCAGCACACUCCAAUUCUUUCUUCUUGUUAUUCAGAACUGUGCUGUUCCUACUGUGACAUAAUGUGACACCUACAUUUGGAUGCUCGUUAAAUAAACCCAACAAAUCCAA